GAUGAAGAACGUAGUGAAAUGCGAUAAGUAAUGUGAAUUGCAGAAUUCAGUGAAUCAUCGAAUCUUUGAACGCACAUUGCGCCCUUUGGUAUUCCGAAGGGCAUGCCUGUUCGAGCGUCAUUUCACCACUCAAGCCUGGCUUGGUAUUGGGCGCCGCGGUCGAUCCGCGCGCCUCAAAGUCUCCGGCUGAGCUGUCCGUCUCUAAGCGUUGUGAUUUCAUUAAUCGCUUCGGAGUGCGGGCGGCCGCGGCCGUUAAAUCUUUCACAAGGUUGACCUCGGAUCAGGUAGGGAUACCCGCUGAACUUAAGCAUAUCAAUAAGCGGAGGA
rnacentral:misc_RNA from 1 species